CCCCUAGAUGUUCUGGGCCGCACGCGCGCUACACUGAACAGUUCAACAAGUCUUAACCUUGGCCGAUAGGUCUGGGUAAUCUUUGAACGCUGUUCGUGAUUGGGAUAGACCUUUGCAAUUAUUAAUCUUCAACGAGGAAUUCCUAGUAAACGCAAGUCAUCAGCUUGCAUUGAUUACGUCCCUGCCCUUUGUACACACCGCCCGUCGCACCUACCGAUUGAAUGGUCCGGUGAAAUCCUCGGAUCGAGCCGUGGGGCAACUCCGGUUCGAGAAGUUGAUUAAACCUUACCAUUUAGAGGAAGGUGAAGUCGUAACA
rnacentral:rRNA from 1 species